rnacentral:rRNA from 2 species
UACGUAGGGUCCGAGCGUUAUCCGGAAUUAUUGGGCGUAAAGGGCUCGUAGGCGGUUUGUUGCGUCGGGAGUGAAAACCCAGGGCUUAACUCUGGGCUUGCUUCCGAUACGGGCAGACUUGAGGUAUUCAGGGGAGAACGGAAUUCCUGGUGUAGCGGUGAAAUGCGCAGAUAUCAGGAGGAACACCGGUGGCGAAGGCGGUUCUCUGGGAAUUACCUGACGCUGAGGAGCGAAAGUGUGGGGAGCGAACAGG